CCUACGGGAGGCAGCAGUGGGGAAUAUUGCACAAUGGGGGAAACCCUGAUGCAGCGACGCCGCGUGAGUGAAGAAGUAUUUCGGUAUGUAAAGCUCUAUCAGCAGGGAAGAAAAUGACGGUACCUGACUAAGAAGCCCCGGCUAACUACGUGCCAGCAGCCGCGGUAAUACGUAGGGGGCAAGCGUUAUCCGGAUUUACUGGGUGUAAAGGGAGCGUAGACGGUAGAGCAAGUCUGAAGUGAAAGCCCGCGGCUCAACUGCGGGACUGCUUUGGAAACUGUUCAACUGGAGUGCUGGAGAGGUAAGCGGAAUUCCUAGUGUAGCGGUGAAAUGCGUAGAUAUUAGGAGGAACACCAGUGGCGAAGGCGGCUUACUGGACAGUAACUGACGUUGAGGCUCGAAAGCGUGGGGAGCAAACAGGAUUAGAUACCCCUGUAGUC
rnacentral:rRNA from 1 species